UAUGAAUAACGGUCCUUAUGAAUAGCCGACCUUAUGAAUAGCGGUCCUUAUGAAUAGCGAAUAGACCCCCGUGAGAGUGUAGCUGUUAUAAAAGAAGGCAGAGGUAUUUGUCAGAUUCACUCCUGUACUGCACCCCAUCCAUGGAGCAGGCAGGGAGGUCGACUCUGCAAGCUUUUGGUGUUACAUGUCAUUAUAUUAGGUAUUGACAAUCAAGAUGUAAGAAGCGGGUACAAUGAGAGGAAACAGUCCUCUAGGCCAGAUUGCUAGGGUGAGUGGGUUAUCAUAUUCAAUGUAUAAACCACUAAUUCAACGUAGUUUUAAUUGGGAAUUAUGUUUGAUUGUUUGACAAAGUUCACUUGAUGGUUGUAUUCAUUUAUUUGUUGGGAAAGUUAUCCAUUAAGAUGGAAGAACUUUAUUGAUUAGAUACUUGUUAUUUUCAUGCGAUAUUGAUUAAGUUUUAAUGAAUGUAAUAUAAACAACAUGUUUAUCAUUUAUUAUCAUGAGUCGGCUUGACGUCAUAUUGUUGGAAUGCGUAUCUUAGAGUCAUUAACAAAUAUUAUGUUUAUCACUAUUAUGUGUGUUUUUCAAACAUGUCCACAUUUCUAUUUAAUUGUUUUAACUUUGUUUAUUUGUCCAGGCUUUGGCUUAGUUUACUUUGCACCUGAAAUAAAAAGAACCGCAACACAACGAAUGGUGUGAUGAGUAUUUUCUACCAGUUUCUGCGUGUGAUCGGCGUGUUACA